UACGGAGGGUGCGAGCGUUAAUCGGAAUUACUGGGCGUAAAGCGCACGCAGGCGGUUUGUUAAGCUAGAUGUGAAAGCCCCGGGCUCAACCUGGGAUGGUCAUUUAGAACUGGCAGACUAGAGUCUUGGAGAGGGGNGUGGAAUUCCAGGUGUAGCGGUGAAAUGCGUAGAUAUCUGGAGGAACAUCAGUGGCGAAGGCGACUCCCUGGCCAAAGACUGACGCUCAUGUGCGAAAGUGUGGGUAGCGAACAGG
rnacentral:rRNA from 1 species